rnacentral:rRNA from 1 species
GGUGAACGCUGGCGGCGUGCUUAACACAUGCAAGUCGAACGAAGCACUUAAGUGAAUUUCUUCGGAAUGAAGCUUUUGUGACUGAGUGGCGGACGGGUGAGUAACGCGUGGGUAACCUGCCUCAUACAGGGGGAUAACAGUUAGAAAUGACUGCUAAUACCGCAUAAGCGCACAGUACCACAUGGUACAGUGUGAAAAACUCCGGUGGUAUGAGAUGGACCCGCGUCUGAUUAGCUGGUUGGUGAGGUAACGGCCCACCAAGGCAACGAUCAGUAGCCGACCUGAGAGGGUGACCGGCCACAUUGGGACUGAGACACGGCCCAG